CCUACGGGUGGCAGCAGUGGGGAAUAUUGCGCAAUGGGCGAAAGCCUGACGCAGUGACGCCGCGUGAGGGAUGAAGGUCUUCGGAUCGUAAACCUCUGUCAGCAGGGAAGAACGGUCACUGUGCUAAUCAGCAGUGAAUUGACGGUACCUGCAAAGGAAGCACCGGCUAACUCCGUGCCAGCAGCCGCGGUAAUACGGAGGGUGCGAGCGUUAAUCGGAAUUACUGGGCGUAAAGCGCUCGUAGGCGGUAUGUCAAGUCAAGGGUGAAAUCCCCGCGCUCAACGUGGGAACUGCCUUUGAAACUGGCAAACUGGAGUGUGUGAGAGGAUAGUGGAAUUCCAGGUGUAGGAGUGAAAUGCGUAGAUAUCUGGAGGAACAUCAGUGGCGAAGGCGACUAUCUGGCACAUAACUGACGCUGAGGAGCGAAAGCGUGGGUAGCAAACAGGAUUAGAUACCCGAGUAGUC
rnacentral:rRNA from 1 species